GAUGAACGCUGGCGGCGUGCCUAAUACAUGCAAGUCGAGCGAACAGAUGAGGAGCUUGCUCCUCUGACGUUAGCGGCGGACGGGUGAGUAACACGUGGAUAACCUACCUAUAAGACUGGGAUAACUUCGGGAAACCGGAGCUAAUACCGGAUAAUAUAUUGAACCGCAUGGUUCAAUAGUGAAAGACGGUUUUGCUGUCACUUAUAGAUGGAUCCGCGCCGCAUUAGCUAGUUGGUAAGGUAACGGCUUACCAAGGCAACGAUGCGUAGCCGACCUGAGAGGGUGAUCGGCCACACUGGAACUGAGACACGGUCCAGACUCCUACGGGAGGCAGCAGUAGGGAAUCUUCCGCAAUGGGCGAAAGCCUGACGGAGCAACGCCGCGUGAGUGAUGAAGGUCUUCGGAUCGUAAAACUCUGUUAUUAGGGAAGAACAAAUGUGUAAUUAACUAUGCACGUCUUGACGGUACCUAAUCAGAAAGCCACGGCUAACUACGUG
rnacentral:rRNA from 1 species